rnacentral:rRNA from 1 species
UACAGAGGUCUCAAGCGUUGUUCGGAUUCAUUGGGCGUAAAGAGCUCGUAGGCGGUUUGUCGCGUCUGCUGUGAAAAAUCCAGGGCUUAACCCUGGACCUGCAGUGGGUACGGGCAGACUGGAGUGCGGUAGGGGAGAUCGGAAUUCCUGGUGUAGCGGUGAAAUGCGCAGAGUAUCAGGAGGAACACCGGUGGCGAAGGCGGAUCUCUGGGCCGUAACUGACGCUGAGGAGCGAAAGCAUGGGGAGCGAACAGG